rnacentral:rRNA from 1 species
UUAAGUAAGGAAGGGCGUACGGCGAAUGCCUUGCCACUCGAAACUGAAGAAGGACGCGCCAAACUGCGAAAAGCUCCGUGAAGCUGUAAGGAAGCGAAGAAGCGGAGGUGUCCGAAUGGGGGAACCCGGCAGCAGACAUGAGCUGUCAUCUGCAGGUGAAUACAUGGCCUGCAAGAGAGGUACCCGGCGAACUGAAACAUCUAAGUAGCCGGAGGAAAAGAAAACAACAGUGAUUCCCUGAGUAGCGGCGAGCGAAAGGGGAGAAGCCCAAACCGGUUGAAGGACCGGGGUUGAAGGACCAUGACAUGGCAAGAACGAGGAUAGGAGAACGGGAUCGAAAGCCCGGCCGAAGAAGGUGAAAGCCCUGUAACCGAAAUCCGAGCAAAGCCUAAUGGGAUCCUGAGUACGGCGAGACACGAGGAAUCUUGUCGGAAGCAGGCGGGACCAUCCGCCAAGGCUAAAUAUAAACGAGUGAGCGAUAGUGAACCAGUACCGUGAGGGAAAGGUGAAAAGAACCGCGGGAGCGGAGUGAAAGAGAACCUGAAACCGUAUGCCUACAAGAAGUCAGAGCCCGUUAAGGGGUGAUGGCGUGCCUUUUGUAGAAUGAACCGGCGAGUUGCGACAGACUGCGAGGUUAAGGAGGAAAGACCGGAGCCGAAGCGAAAGCGAGUCUUAAGAGGGCGAAAGUAGGAUGUUGCAGACCCGAAACCGGGUGAUCUAGCCAUGAGCAGGUUGAAGUUGAGGUGAAACUCAAUGGAGGACCGAACCGACUACCGUUGAAAAGUUAGCGGAUGACUUGUGGCUAGGGGAGAAAUUCCAAUCGAACCCGGAGAUAGCUGGUUCUCCCCGAAAUAGCUUUAGGGCUAGCGUCGGAAAGAACCUUAGUGAAGGUAGAGCACUGAAUGUGUGAUGGCCCCAUCCCGGGGUACUGAAUACAAUCAAACUGCGAAUGUCAUUAAGGAUGUCCGGCAGUCAGACUGUGAGUGAUAAGGUCCAUGGUCAAGAGGGAAACAGCCCAGACCGCCAGUUAAGGUCCCAAAAUACAGGCUAAGUGGAAAAGGAUGUGGGGAUGCCCAGACAACUAGGAGGUUGGCUCAGAAGCAGCCAUCCUUUAAAGAGUGCGUAACAGCUCACUAGUCGAGUGACCCUGCGCCGAAAAUGUACCGGGGCUAAGCCUGAUACCGAAACUGCGGAUUGUAGGAAACUAUAGUGGUAGGGGAGCGUUGUAUACGAGCAGAAGCCGUACCGUGAGGAGCGGUGGAUUGUAUAGAAGUGAGAAUGCCGGUGUGAGUAGCGAGAUGUAGGUGAGAAUCCUACACACCGAAAGCCCAAGGAUUCCAGGGGAAGGUUCGUCCGCCCUGGGUAAGUCGGGACCUAACGCGAGGCCGAAAGGCGUAGUGGAUGGAAAGCAGGCGAAAGAUUCCUGCACCCGUAUAUGGAGCGAAGGAGUGACGGAGACGGAUAGUGUGACCCUCUUAAUGGAUUGAGGGCGAAGCGAAGCGGCUGGUUACCAGGCAAAUCCGGUAACCAAAAGGCUAGAGCGUGACAGGUAAGCGAAAUCUUAGGAAAGUAGCGAAGCACAUGAUGACGGCUUCCAGGAAAAGCUUCUGGCAAUGCAUAUGCGGCCCGUACCAAAACCGACACAGGUGGGCAGGGAGAGAAUCCCGAGGUGAGCGAGAGAACUGUUGCCAAGGAACUCGGCAAAAUGACUCCGUAAGUUAGCGAGAAGGAGUGCUUAAGCAAUUAAGCCGCAGUGAAGAGGCCCAAGCGACUGUUUAACUAAAACACAGCUCUCUGCGAAGUCGCAAGACGAAGUAUAGGGGGUGACACCUGCCCGGUGCUGGAAGGUUAAGAGGAUCUGUUAAGAGCGAUCUGAAGCAGUGAUCCGAAGCCCCAGUGAACGGCGGCCGUAACUAUAACGGUCCUAAGGUAGCGAAAUUCCUUGUCAGGUAAG